GCCAUAGUAGUAUAACGGCUAUUACUUUUGCUUCCCAAGCAAAGAACGCGAGUUCGACCCUCGUCUAUGGCUCCA
rnacentral:tRNA from 1 species